rnacentral:rRNA from 1 species
GGCUCAUUAUAUAAGUUAUCGUUUAUUUGAUAGUACCUUACUACUUGGAUAACCGUGGUAAUUCUAGAGCUAAUACAUGCUAAAAAUCCCGACUUCGGAAGGGAUGUAUUUAUUAGAUUAAAAACCAAUGCCCUUCGGGGCUCACUGGUGAUUCAUGAUAACUCCUCGAAUCGCAUGGCCUUGUGCCGGCGAUGGUUCAUUCAAAUUUCUUCCCUAUCAACUUUCGAUGUUUGGGUAUUGGCCAAACAUGGUUGCAACGGGUAACGGAGGGUUAGGGCUCGACCCCGGAGAAGGAGCCUGAGAAACGGCUACUACAUCCAAGGAAGGCAGCAGGCGCGCAAAUUACCCAAUCCCGACACGGGGAGGUAGUGACAAUAAAUACUGAUACAGGGCUCUUUUGGGUCUUGUAAUUGGAAUGAGUACAAUUUAAAUCCCUUAACGAGGAACAAUUGGAGGGCAAGUCUGGUGCCAGCAGCCGCGGUAAUUCCAGCUCCAAUAGCGUAUAUUAAAGUUGUUGUGGUUAAAAAGCUCGUAGUUGAACCUUGGGCCUGGCUGGCCGGUCCGCCUCACCGCGUGUACUGGUCCGGCCGGGCCUUUCCCUCUGUGGAACC